rnacentral:rRNA from 1 species
AGUGAACGCUGGCGGUAGGCCUAACACAUGCAAGUCGAACGGCAGCACAGUAAGAGCUUGCUCUUACGGGUGGCGAGUGGCGGACGGGUGAGGAAUACAUCGGAAUCUACUUUUUCGUGGGGGAUAACGUAGGGAAACUUACGCUAAUACCGCAUACGACCUACGGGUGAAAGCAGUGGAUCUUCGGACCUUGCGCGAUUGAAUGAGCCGAUGUCGGAUUAGCUAGUUGGCGGGGUAAAGGCCCACCAAGGCGACGAUCCGUAGCUGGUCUGAGAGGAUGAUCAGCCACACUGGAACUGAGGCACGGUCCAGACUCCUACGGGAGGCAGCAGUGGGGAAUAUUGGACAAUGGGCGCAAGCCUGAUCCAGCCAUACCGCGUGGGUGAAGAAGGCCUUCGGGUUGUAAAGCCCUUUUGUUGGGAAAGAAAAGCAGCAGGUUAAUACCCCGCUGUUCUGACGGUACCCAAAGAAUAAGCACCGGCUAACUUCGUG